rnacentral:rRNA from 1 species
UACGGAGGGGGCUAGCGUUGUUCGGAAUUACUGGGCGUAAAGCGCACGUAGGCGGCUUUGUAGGUUAGAGGUGAAAGCCCGGAGCUCAACUCCGGAAUUGCCUUUAAGACUGCAUCGCUAGAAUUGUGGAGAGGUAAGUGGAAUUCCGAGUGUAGAGGUGAAAUUCGUAGAUAUUCGGAAGAACACCAGUGGCGAAGGCGACUUACUGGACACAUAUUGACGCUGAGGUGCGAAAGCGUGGGGAGCAAACAGG